rnacentral:rRNA from 1 species
AACGUAGGGGGCGAGCGUUGUCCGGAAUUACUGGGCGUAAAGGGCGUGUAGGCGGCUAUGCAAGUCAGGAGUGAAAACCGUCGGCUCAACCGGCGGCCUGCUUCUGAAACUGCAUGGCUUGAGUGCAGGAGAGGGAAGUGGAAUUCCCAGUGUAGCGGUGAAAUGCGUAGAUAUUGGGAGGAACACCAGUGGCGAAAGCGGCUUCCUGGCCUGUAACUGACGCUGAGGCGCGAAAGCGUGGGGAGCAAACAGG